rnacentral:lncRNA from 1 species
UAGAGCAUGUAAAGAGUCAUUUAACCAUGGCCGAGAGAAGCUUCUACAGGGCUCGCAAAAUUUCAAAAUCCCUGGUAGCCCUUCGGGCAGGGACUCUUCAGUUUUUGGUAGCCCGAAAUAAAUUUAAGUAGCCCGAAUAAAAAAGGGAGCAAUUUUUUUAUGUUUUGUUUCCUGUUUUGUUUCCGUUACAAUAUUAUACAUUAAAGUAUAAUAUUGUAAUGGAAACAAAACAUUAAUCAAAAAAUUGUUGAAACACAAAUUACAACAUUGUAUAAAAAUUACAAUCAUCAACUCAAAUACUUGGUUCUAAUUGAACAGAAAUUUCUAUGAACUUGUAAGAACUGUGUAGAACAUGAAUCAGUCUGUGUCAGAUCCUGAAUUUGAAAUUUCCACUGAAGUCACAGAUAAGAAGCAAGUGGAACCAAGAUCGAGGCCAUUUGCUUUUUGAAGUUUGCAAAGACUGCUAAAUUUUGCCAGUGGUAGUUCACUCUUUGCAACAUAGUACGCUGUUCUAAACAGAUUUUUCAGGUUGAUUAUUAGUAUGUUAUUUGCAAUUGGUGUUUGUUCUGGGAAAGAUAUUGCAGACUGAGCGAUAAUGCAUUUCUUGCAUUUCUCAUGGGUUCUAAUGGGGGCCUUUCUUAAAAUUACUGUCCUUCCACUCCACUUUAGCGUCUUCAGGCAGGUGAAGUGUGGUUUUGCAGAUCAGCUGGACAGACUCCACCCCUGAAUCCACCUCCACCUUGUAAACUGUGGGGACAACAAAGCACAACAUGAGCUGUACUGAAGGUUACUAAUGUUCUCCUUAUGACCUGUUACAGUGGACUUAUUUCUGUGUCCUUGUCCUGUUAGACCUCAGUGUAGACCACAACAUUUUGCUACAAACACUAGAACACACCAGAGUAAUUACAGGAAAUUCCCUGCAGUGAUUUGAAUCAUAUCUAAAAGAUUCCAGUUUGUUCAUGUACACGAGGAGUUGUUCACACACAAAAAGUAGGCAUGGAUUUCCACAGAGUUUUGUGUUGGGACCAUUUCUGUUCACAUUAAACAUGCUUCUCUUACUUAAUAAC